AGGUGACACCGAUGAGUUUACAGAAGAUGAAGGAACGAGCGCUCUAGAAGACAAAAAGAAUGCUACAUCCAAGAAGGUGUGCAGCAGUCAGUUGCCUUUUAGUCUCUUCUUCUUUUGCAAUUAUCUCACCCUUUUUUUUAUUUAGGCUGAAGUUGGCACGAAGAGAGAAAUCCAUGCUGAGAAGACACCUUCUGGUAAGAAGGCCAAGGGUGAUCAGUAUGGUCAGAGUGUGAGCUUUUCAGGACCUGAGGAGUCAUCAUCUGAAGAAGUAUGUCAAUUUGAUUUCUCUUCUCAAAUUAUUACAAUUUGGUAUUUUGUAUUAUCGGUUGCAUAUAGAAUUGUUGGUGACGAGUACUGGUGGACCAGGACUGGUGGUGACGAGUGAAGACCUUGAUGAAGUUUGCAGAAUUGCAGCCACAGCCGCAGCGCAACUCCCGUCCACUCCAGGGAAACAAUCCAGACUAGUUGGUACUGUAUGUGCUACUCUGAUAUCCUCAGGGGCACAUGUUAAUAAUGUUGGAGUAUCCUCACGGAGUCACCGGAACAUGUUAAUGGUGGUAGUACGGUACGGUAGCCCUGCUAAAUCAGAAUUGUCGUAUGCUGAAAUGUUGCUAAUUAAACCAUAUAAAACAGAUUUCGCUUGCUCUCUGAUUGGCAUACAUAUAGUGCUAGUGUGUGUGGAUAUAAAUUGUCUGAUUGGCAUAGAUAUAAAUUGUCGCCUGCUAAAGUGUGUGUUGUCUGAUUGGCAUACAUAUAUGCUAGUGUUUGUUACAUUCAGUUCGUAGACGGUGUACGUACGGCUUGUUGCGAAGCAGCACAUACUGUUAUCCUGAUGAUCUUGUAGAGCUUAGACCAUCAAGCUUAAGCAUGAAGAAGUCAACCAAGUCCAUCUCGUAGGGCACAGCCGUCCGUUUCAUUUGAUCCGCGAACAGGGGC
rnacentral:lncRNA from 1 species